CAAAAGAAAAAAAAUUGUUCAUUUUGUUUUUCUGUUUCGAAGUAGAAUAUUUUCAUUUCCAAUUAUUGAACGACGCACAGAAUGUUUGCACAGCUUGGAACGGAAUCUUAUACCGAGUUAGACAUGCAAAUUUAAUUCCAGAGCAUCCGCGUGUCAAAAUGUCUAGUCAAAUGGGCACAUAAUACGAUCGUAAACGCGUCGAGAUGUGCGUGCCGCCUGCUGCUCGGGUGUGGAGCGCUUUUAUUUGUGUCUUGUUGCGACUCACAUGCAGAUGCCGCAAGAUAGUGCAGAUGCCGUGUUGUGGCUGCCACAGAGACGUGCCACUCAAAAUCCGUGCCAGCUGCCAGCUGCCAGCUGCGGGCUGCCAUGGCCACGGCCACGGCCAGGAGCAGAGCUGGAGCAGGGGCCAGCGUCAGGGCCUGGUUCAAAUAAAGAAAUGAGCAAAUUGUUGGCUCUAAUGAAAUUUUGGCGCAAUACGCAAAAGCGAGCGAGCGAGCGAAGAAGAAGAGCGAGAGCAAAUCACAAGUGGCCCAAGGAGAGGCCAAAGCGAGAGCCAACAGACCCAAUACAGAGCUGCACUUGACGCUGUGUGCGUGCGUGUGUGUGUGUGUGUGUGUGUGUGUGUGUGUGUGUGUGAGUGUUUUGGUUGCCUUUUUCAUUAAUUACUACAGCAAAUGGCAAUAAGAAGUAGAAGAAGACGAAUAAGUAGUAGCAGUCAAAGGAGCGAACGAAGAAGCAGGAGCAGCAAACGAAGAUGAAGAGAAGGCAACAAUGGCGAAAGCUCCGAACCGAGCUGAAGUCGUGUAAUUAAUUUCACUUUCGCUUGAGCGAUGAUUUUGAAUAUGCGACGAGCGCACGCAAUCCAUGCGAAAAUCGACAAAUACUGUGGAUAACCCCGGGCGCGGCUAACUCGCGAAACUGGGCGUGGCAACCGACAAAAAGCGACCUUAGCCAUGGCCAAACAACAAAGAGCAAGAGUGUCAUUUCCUGUCGCUGGCACCCCAUUCAAAUAACCCAUCCCCAUCCCCAUCCGCAUCCGCAUCCGCAUCCGCAUCCGCAGCUCGACAUGCGACCACAUAAUUUAGACUGGUUUGUUGCUGGCCCGCCAUUGUUCUUGUCCCUCUGCCAUACUAAUCAGCAUUGUAGGCAUACUAAUGACAUUAUUAUUAUGGCUGCUGCUGCUGCUGCUGCUGCUGCUGCUGCUGCUCGGCACUCGCCCAGCCAAUUGCCAAAUCAUAUGGGCAUAGACCACUCGCCCAAUACUUCAGCACUCGCCCGGGCCGGCCUGGGCUGGGCUGCCUAUUGAGCUCUAGUUGCUGCUUAAACAACUGCGCGGAGGUUGGUAUAAACGCUUAUAGAUAUUAAGAUGUAUAUGCCAAGAUAAAGCUACUUAGUUCUAGUUAAUUGGAUGUAUUUGCCAGCAGAAGGGUUUGCUAUUAUCCUUAACUUAUGGCGCUUUUGAUGCUUUCAAUCCUAAAGGAAACUUUCUUAGUUCAGUAGCUCAUAUAAGCUAGGUUUCAUAUGAGAUUUUAAUAUUAGAUAGAUUAGAUAUUUACAAUCCAAAGGAAUCUCUCAUUCCUUGCCCAUCCACAGACUGAGAAAUUUCCUAUGCUAUGCUCAAUCAAAUUAUUUGAUAUCAUUCGAAUGCGACUUUUCAUGAAAUUAUGUGUACAGAUAUUACUUCUAUGUUAGUAAAUGAAAUGAAAUUGUGCCGAUAGAUACAAUUAUAAAUAUUGUAGUAAAUGUAGUAAAAAUUA